AUUUCCAAACUUCCAAACAGCAGGCUGUCUCAGAGCCUAGCAAAUCGGACUUCGAGGAUGGGCUGUGGAUGCCAGCGCCUCAGAAACUGAGACAACCUCCCACUUCGUCCGUGGCCUACCCGGGAUCCCAGGCCUGCAGAAGGGAUAGUCAAAGUGUGAUGACUUUCCAUAAUCAAGCUGAGACCAUGAAGAGCUCCUGUGCUCCAAAAAUUGCCAUGUGAUCUGACCAACACAGAUCAUCUUCCUAAAUAUCCAUGGAAAAACACUGAAAUGUAUAGAAAUGUGUGAUGGAGCUAUCAGAGUCCACACUCCCACAGCAAGCACCACUCCAGGGAAGGCAGAAGUGCCACUGGUGCUGCCGGCAUAUCAUAAAGCUGCUACCGGGCCCAGGGAACGUGGCAAAGAAUCCUCCCUGCUCCCCACCCAUGCAGACAGUACUGGACCGAGAGAGGGAAGGGAGGCACCGCAGCAGGAAGGCAGAUGUGCAGGCGCAGUCAAGCAGGGGAACCGCAACCUGGAGAUGCAUGGAUCUGACUGGGCACCUGUUGAAGAUAACGACAAAACAAUUGCUUUGUUUCAGUGGCAGGAGAACAAGCCUCUUUUGGACUAAGUCCUCAGGGAGAGUAUGUCUACACUAUAGAGAAGAUUGAAGCUGCUGCUUUUAAUCUUUCAGGGUUCGAAAUAUUUGGUCUAGUGAAGACACAUUAGUGAAGUGAGAGGAGCACUCCUGUCGAUGCCGGUAGUCCUGCUUUCACGAGGAGCAAGGGAUGUCAAAGGGAGAACAUUCUCCCCUUGACUUCCUGCAGU